rnacentral:rRNA from 1 species
AGUGAACGCUGGCGGUAGGCCUAACACAUGCAAGUCGAACGGCAGCACAGUAAGAGCUUGCUCUUACGGGUGGCGAGUGGCGGACGGGUGAGGAAUACAUCGAAAUCUACUUUUUCGUGGGGGAUAACGUAGGGAAACUUACGCUAAUACCGCAUACGACCUACGGGUGAAAGCAGGGGAUCUUCGGACCUUGCGCGAUUGAAUGAGCCGAUGUCGGAUUAGCUAGUUGGCGGGGUAAAGGCCCACCAAGGCGACGAUCCGUAGCUGGUCUGAGAGCAUGAUCAGCCACACUGGAACUGAGACACGGUCCAGACUCCUACGGGAGGCAGCAGUGGGGAAUAUUGGACAAUGGGCGCAAGCCUGAUCCAGCCAUACCGCGUGGGUGAAGAAGGCCUUCGGGUUGUAAAGCCCUUUUGUUGGGAAAGAAAAGCAGCAGGUUAAUACCCCGCUGUUCUGACGGUACCCAAAGAAUAAGCACCGGCUAACUUCGUG